GUAGGUAUAGUUUAAUAAAAAUAUUAGGUUGUGAUUCUAAAGACAGGGGCUAAUCUCCCCUUACCCACC
ensembl:Mt_tRNA